UGAUCAAAGAGAAGAUGACGAUCUAAGCUGUGAAUUAUUUGAAGGUCAUUUACAAGAUGGAAGGCAGCUGACUCGUGUGGUACAUAAUGCAAGAAUUCCUUUCAUACAUAAUCGAUAAAAGCUAAAAUGGUGCCUGAGGAUCAUUACCAAGCAAGAAGACUGUACAGGCCUUCCUGAUAAGUACACCAAUUCUUGAGGGGAUUGCUGAAAACGAAAAAGUAAAAGCUGUAAAACAGUAUAUUCAAUGAGGCCAAAAAACAAAGGAAGAAAAAAAAAAGAAUUUAUAAGGUCAUUAUGAUUAUUAUGCAAAUUCGUCUCAGGCAAAUUUAAGGGAGCAAAAAUCAAUAAAAUCAAACCCUCAGCAAUUACUGGAGUUUUAUGUAGCAUUUUGCAUUUGGUUAUUAAUAUGGAUAGGCACAUUUUAGAGCUUUUUAAACUGAGGUAGAUUCUUAUAUGCUCAAAAGAGGAACUGCUCUAGUUUAUUGUACAAAUGCUCAAUCAUUAAGUGAAACCCUAGUCACUGCCCCAGUUUUAAUGAGUGUUGUAUAAUUAUCAAUGCCCUGAUAGUUGACUUCCAUGCCACUAUUCUGACUACAGCAUUAAUUGUAGCAACUAAAUUCAUAACAUUUGUGUUGUAUAAAAAAGAAAUUGCAUUUUUUAAGCAUCCAUUAUCUAUUAAUUUAGAACUCCACCAAAAGUGCCCAUCACAAAAGCCCAAAUUUGUAGUCAGUCACUGGCAGCCCCGGAUACAUUUGGUACAUUUUCGAAAGUGAUGGGCCCCCCCACCCAAGCCGGCUGCAUCCCCACACGCCAUAGAAUCUGCUUCCACCACAUGGCAAUAAAGAAUUAAAUACAUAAUUAACCCCCAUAGUAGGGCUUAUGAAAUACAUGUAAAGACAUUACAUAAAUACAUGUUAAAAUCGAUUAAAACAAGGUGUAUAGCCCUAGUAAUAAAUCGGAUAUUUGGAUGGAAAAGGACCAUCGAGUAGACCAUAAAGAACGAUUAUCAUUUUAUUCAGAUUGUCCUUGAUGUUAUUCAGACGUUUUUGAGCAAUAUAAGUUGUGGUAUCAAAGUGAUAUUUUAUUAUUAAAAUGAAUUAUUUUGUCUACCUAACCAUGUUUAUAUUGGUAUUUUCUUGAAAGCCUAUUCGAGACAACCAGAGGAAAAAGCGAUUCAGAAGUCGUAGGCUUAAAAAUUAGCAUUGGUAAAGUAAAUUUUUGUCUGUCUCUUUUAAACUAUUAACAUGUUGGUACCUUAUAUGACUAGGACAAAUGUAGCUAAAAAUCUGGGUAGAGGGUGCCAUGGGAUAUGUCACGCAACAAGUGGGGGUGGUGUUUAGUUUUUUUUGUUUAGAAAUGCUUGAGACCAUAGACAAUGAUAAAAUUUAAAUUGGAAAUUGGCGCUUUUUUUUUAAGGCCUAUUAGAAAGUCGUUCUCCUCUUUCAGGACUUCUCUCAUACCAGUAUUUGGGGGUGAUAAUGUUUAUUUAUAUAGCAUAUCUUCAUUGGAACUGCAUGCUAAUGAAAUUCAUAUACUUAAUUUAUAUGUUGCAUACAAAUAUUAAAGCUAUGAAGUGUGUGCAAAUACUAUUGUUAAAUAGUCGCACAAUAUUUUUGGAAUUGUCUACUUUACAGAAUGCAAGGGGCCCACAAAUUGUUUUCACCGCCAGGCCCCAUCAUUACGCCACUGAAAUCAUUGCUUUGGGUACUUGUAUUUAAUGAAGAGAUGCUACUUUAUUUUUGAAGACUAAAAUUAGUAUUCUUUGUCUAACAAAUACUGAUGGUUUCGAAUAAAAAUAAAAUUUUAUUUUUGGCCAAUUAGCGCAAACGCCGCUAUAAUGAAAA